GCCUGGGUAGCCCAACUGGCAGGAGGCGCAGAGCUCAGAACUCUGACAGUGGAGGUUCGAAUCCUCUCCCAGGCA
rnacentral:tRNA from 1 species